rnacentral:rRNA from 1 species
UACAGAGGGUGCAAGCGUUGUUCGGAAUUAUUGGGCGUAAAGGGCGCGUAGGCGGUGCGGUAAGUCUGUAGUGAAAUCUCUGGGCUCAACUCAGAGUCUGCUGCAGAAACUGCCGUGCUUGAGUGUGGGAGAGGUGAGUGGAAUUCCCGGUGUAGCGGUGAAAUUCGUAGAUAUUGGGAGGAACACCAGAGGCGAAGGCGGCGACCUGGAAGGUGACUGACACUGAGCAGCGAAAGCGUGGGGAGCAAACAGG